GGAUUAGCGGCGAACGGGUGAGUAACGCGUGAGGAACCUGCCUCUCACAACGGGAUAGCCUCGGGAAACCGGGAUUAAUACCGUAUGACACCAUUUUCUGGCAUCUUAAAAUGGUUAAAGUGCUAGCGGUGAGAGAUGGCCUCGCGUCUGAUUAGUUAGUUGGUGGGGUAACGGCCUACCAAGACGACGAUCAGUAACCGGCCUGAGAGGGUGAACGGUCACAUUGGAACUGAGACACGGUCCAAACUCC
rnacentral:rRNA from 1 species